UGCCAGCCGCCGCGGUAAUACGGAGGGGGUUAGCGUUAUCCGGAAUCACUGGGCAUAAAGCGUCUGUGGUUUGUUAAGUGGAAUGUGAAAGCCCUGGGCUCAACCUAGGAAUUGCAUCCCAAACUGGCAAACUAGAGUACAAGAGAGGGGUGUGGAAUUUCCUGUGUAGCGGUGAAAUGCGUAGAUAUAGGAAGGAACAUCAGUGGCGAAGGCGACGCCCUGGCUUGAUACUGACACUGAGGUGCGAAAGCGUGGGGAGCAAACAGGAUUAGAUA
rnacentral:rRNA from 1 species